UCAACUAAGAGAGGCAAAGAGAGAGGUAACUCUUGUUAGCCAAUCCAACUAACCAAACUGAUAUAAUCUUUUUACCUUUUGUGAAAAUGAAUAAAACAUUUCUAAUAAUCUUAUAUCUUCCUUUAUCUUCACAAAAUCUAUCGCCGUUUCUAAUGAACCCUAAUUUCUUUCUUCCCCGACAUCUUUUAGAUUCAGAAAUCGAAAUCUGAAGUUGAACCCCUUUCUCCUUCUAUAGACGUUUUCUUUCUCCCUGAA
rnacentral:lncRNA from 1 species